rnacentral:rRNA from 1 species
AAUUGGAGGGCAAGUCUGGUGCCAGCAGCCGCGGUAAUUCCAGCUCCAAUAGCGUAUAUUAAAGUUGUUGCAGUUAAAAAGCUCGUAGUUGAAUUUCGGGAUUGACACAUCGGUCGUGCCUUAAGGGGUAUGAACUGGUGUAGUCAAUUUCUCACCUUCUGGAGAACCGCGAUGCCCUUAAUUGGGUGUCACGGGGAACCAGGACCUUUACUUUGAAAAAAUUAGAGUGUUUAAAGCAGGCAUUUUGCUUGAAUACAUUAGCAUGGAAUAAUAAAAUAGGACGGCAUGAUUCUAUUUUGUUGGUUUCUAGGAUCACCGUAAUGAUUAAUAGGGAUAGUUGGGGGCAUUAGUAUUCAAUUGUCAGAGGUGAAAUUCUUGGAUUUAUUGAAGACUAACUACUGCGAAAGCAUUUGCCAAGGAUGUUUUCAUUAAUCAAGAACGAAAGUUAGGGGAUCGAAGACGAUCAGAUACCGCCGUAGUCUUAACCAUAAACUAUGCCGACUAGGAAUCAGACGAUGUUAAUUUUUUAAUGACUCGUUUGGCACCUUACGGGAAACCAAAGUGU